rnacentral:lncRNA from 1 species
GCAUAAUGACUCCAGAGAGACCAAACGUAACAGUCACCAGUUGGGCUGCUUUCUUUUCCAUUCCAGUUUCACACAACAAAGGGAUCUGCAGAUUUUAUUUGUUAUUUAUUUAGACUCUAAGAAAGCCCGGUUUAAAAUAUUAUCCUGUCCAGUAUGCGUUUCUGCUAAUGGCAGCUCAGAGUAAAUGUGCUGUUUUCCCUCCCUGAGACUGUGAAGUAAGGUCGCCCACAGUGUAAACACACUGAAAUACGCAGCAAUAAUCAGAAUCAUAAGAUCACAGAAUGGCUUAGGUUGGAUGGGCCUUAAAGAUCAUCUAGUUCCAACCCCCUGCCAUUGGCAGGGCUGCCACCCACCAGCUCAACUGCCCAGGGCCCCAUCCCCACUGGCUUUGAGCACCUCCAGAGAUGGGCACCCACAGCUCUCUGGGCAGCCUGUGACAGCGCCUCACCACCCUUUAAACAAAAACUUUCUUCCAAACAUCUAACCUAAAUCUCCCCUCUUUUAGUCUAAAGCCAUCUCCCCUUGUCCUGUUGCUAUCAGACCUUGUAAAAAGUCAAUCUCCCUCCUGCUUGCCAGUUCCCUUCAAUUAGUGGAAGAUUGCACAAGAGUUUAGCCUUCUCUAGUUAAAGCUAGUGAGGAUUUUGUUGAUGGGAGCUGGCUAUAAUGGAAUACAAAUCAGGAACUAAAACAUUAUUUUUUGACUUUGAGCCAAAUCUAAAAGAUACUAUAGCUCUGCACCAGUCCAAAGCUGCAAGCUCAAAAAGCUUCACUUCCUUGCACCUACUUUUGUGUUUGCCUGACAUGCUGAGACACUUUUCCAGGUGGAUGAAGCUCUCAGCACCUAUAAAGAGCUACAGUAUGGCCACGUCUGUCUAACUGAGCCAGAAUGUGACAAGUCCUUGUGCAGUUUCUCCAGCCUGUAGACGUUACUGGAGUGAAUGGAAAGUCUCUGGAUUCCUAUUAAACUAAAAUUUUGAAAUGUAAAAUAGAAAUAAGAGCUUAAAGAAAGAAAACACUGAGGGCACUAACUUGUUUCAAAUUUUAUUUUAAAACCAAACAAAAAAAAGAAAAAAGAAGAAAAAAUAAAAAGAAAAAGGAAAAGAAGAGAAAAGAAGAAAAAAGAAGAAAAAAGAAAAAGAGAAAAGAAAAGAAAAGAAAAGAAAAGAAAAGAAAAGAAAAGAAAAGAAAAGAAAAGAAAAGAAAAGAAAAGAAAAGAAAAGAAAAGAAAAGAAAAGAAAAGAAGAGAAAAGAAAAGAAGAGAAAAGAAAAGAAGAGAAAAGAAAAGAAAAGAAGAGAAAAGAAAAGAAGACCAAUCAACCAACCAAACAAAACAGCCCUUUUUUUGAGCAGCCCAACUUACCACCCUUACCAUAGUGAAUCAGAUGCAGUGAACAAUAAAACCCACAAAUGCCUGACACACAUAUUGCUGAGAAGGCUUAAGGAAAUACCAAAUGCAGAUCUUCACUCUCUGACAAGCAUGUGCUUCUAGCAUACUGUGUACUUCCAGCUCUCUGUUUCUUUAAGGUUUCUCUUCUUUUAUCAGAAGAAACGUAGGAAUAAGGAACACUUCCAAGUAAUAAGUACACACCUAAUUUAUUACACCAGGAAAAGCAAUGUUCAGAGGCUCCAUGAAAGAAAUCUCACUCAAGUAGAUGAGUUGUUUCAUAUAAUGGCUUUUUGUUAUUGUUGUGCUUUGCUUUUUGUUUUCUGUUUUUUAUUUUUUGUCAGCUUCUCUCUUUAAUAACGGGCUUUUUUCUUCAUUGACUUCUUGCUGAACUCCUUUGUAGAUCUGUCACAUCAGAUUAGCUUGUUCAUGUUCACAAUGCCCUGUCUUCUGGAGAGUUAUGCCUGUAAGGAGAAUAAAACUCAUCCCUCAACUUCAAGCAGACAGAAAACACACCUCUGUCCAAGUUUCUCCAAGGCCCUUUUGUACAUAGAGCAGCGUGUUUCCAUAACAGAUGUUAUAAUGACAUUUCUCUCCCACUGCUUUCCAUGUGAGACGAAUGUGAAGGAGGUUCUUCAGAGGAGGUUUUUUUUUUUUUUUUCCAGUUAAACAAGGAGAACAGACACACUAGCACUCUAAAAUAUUUUUGAGCCACCCCUAUUGUGCAUCCAGUGGUCAGGAGCAAACUAAAUGCAUCCUGGGGCUUGAGGGUGACUUUCAGCCUGACAGAUUGAGGUCGUCUAGCACAGUUCGCCAAGUACUUGCACGUUCAGUAAAUCUCUUCAUUAGGGUACUCCUCCCUCUUUAGAUCUCCCAAGCUAGAAAAGCACAUUUGCAAAGACAAGUUGCUGCUGGUUGAAGCCCUUGGGCCAGUGAGUGGGUGGAGUGGCUGCCAUGGUUGUGUAAGGCUCUGGGCCACACAGCAAAAGCAGGGACCAAAGUCACUCACUGUGGAGCAGGGGUGAGCCUGGGGAGCAGACAGGAUGGCCAGCCAGAGGCUGCUGCCCACAGCAAGCUCUCCUUUUUGUGCUGUGGGACAGUUCAGUCAUUAUCUUCUCCCUCACCCACUCCCACCCCAUCUCUUUUUUAAUUUAACACAGAGGAUGAAAUUUUGGCUCAAUGUAAAUAGGAUUUUUACCACUGAUUUCAAUAUGGCAAGAAUUUCAUCUAAACCCUCCAUGCCUCACUGAAGACAAUAACACAAAGAACACUAUUUUGGAACGGAGAAAGGCACCGUAUUUGUGAUCUGCUUUGUUUAUUGUGUUUGGGGGCUUCAAGAUGUAGUCACCCACCCACUUCUUUAUUAAAUGUUAAUUUGGCUUUUGAAAGUUUUACAAGCUACAGUAAAACAAUAAUUAAAAGUUUGUACGCAAUUUCCAUAGCUGGUUUUCAUUCCUCAGGGAGUAUUAAUUCUGGUUUAAUUUGUUUUUCAUUUUCAUUGUGCAACUAAACACAGUUUGUUUUUAAAAGGAGGAUCAAACUGAUGCUGAAAUAUGCAUACAUGUGUUGGCAGGCACUUCUCAAGAAGGACUGCAACCUGUGAACUUGGACCUCAAACAACAAAUGUGCAGAGCUCACAUGAACUUGAAGUUGCCCUUUUUUUUUGUGACAUCUAUAAACAUUUAUGAAGCUUUGUUUUUAUUCCAGUAAAUCUAUGUUGUUAUUUUGGGUCUUUUAAUAGUGUCUAUUUAUAUCGUGAAAUCAUGACAACUGCGUUGUCUUUCUGGAAAGCCACAGGUCAAGGGUCUGCUAAGCAAAUACUAACACAUGUGAGUAACUUCCCUCAUAUGAAUAAUUAGACUGAUCUUAACAGAGUGGUGUUUUUAGGAUCAAGCUCCCAAUAUUUUGACAUACUUCCUGAAAUGUUUUGUAGAUAGGAGCUGUUGACUUUCAUAUGGUGAAAAAAUAAUUUGAACGCCAAAAAGCCCCUCCAAAAGAAGGGAACAUAUUUGGGUCAUCAGGUCUUAACAAUUACAGUUUCACGUGUUAGCUUUCUUUUCCUAGGUACAAGAAGUGUUGGAAGAACAUUUACUCAGAAGAGAUCAAGUAGAAUUACUGUCAAAGGUUUGUGUAAGUUAGCAUAUAUAAUGCUUCCCCUGGUUGUAUGCAAAAACAUUUGGAGAUCUCUGUAUUUUUUUCCCCUCAUCUUCUAGGAAAAAUGAUGGAAUUAAUUACUACAACUGGGAUAUAUUAAAUUUUAUAACUUAUAUCAUGUACCUUUGCCAUGAAGAAAUAGAAAAAUGUAUACAUGGGAACAUCCCUUUAAUGAUAAGAACUACAAAAAUUCAUGCUUCCUAUGAUAAAUAUUAUUCUGUAUUUAAGGCUAUGCCUGGAUAUACUUCCUCUGUAGUGCAUGUGUUAUGAAAGUAAACAGAAUUCUGAGACAGAAUUCUGAUCAUACAAAGUGUACAUAAACUUGAAGUUGUGUGGAAUAGGCAUCUUUCCUUAAAAAGAGAAUUUCCUCAUCAUCUACUGAGAUAUUAAAUUGAUUCUUGGAAAGGUUUUUGUGAAUACACUAAUCCAUUUUUUCCUGCCAUUUGCACAGAUUCUUGGUGUGUUAGAAUGCAAUUCCAGUAAAAACUUCUCUCAGAAAAGCAUGUCAGGAACAAAUUAGCUCUUUACUCUUUAUUGAAAUAUAUUCAAGGGUUUGCCAUGUUGUCUUCUGUACCUUAUUCUCAAAAUAAAUAUUUUAUACUUAUGCUUAACUGCUGCUAGUAAAUUGCAGAAAUUUUUUGCUUAAGUUCAUUCUUGCAAUAAAG